UUAUUGCUUACAUAUAUUGAGACUUAUCACUGUUGAUCAACUCUUUGCCAAGUGAAUGAGUAUAAUGCAGAAUGAAUACAGAGGAAACAAUGUCUCAUCUCUUUGGUGAUUGUGACUACUCUAGGACUGUCUGUGAUGCAUUGUUACAUUGGAUGGCGCCAGAUUGGAUUGGAGGCUGGACUGAUGAAGUGGAAUGGCUCUCAAAAAGGAUUAGCAUUUACAAGCAUACUGGCAUUUCUUUUCCACACUUGCAUGGAAAGGAACAUGUUUCCAUUUCAGGGGCAAAUGACAAUGACAGAAAGUAUUAGACAGUGGAAAUGACACAGGUGGCCACUUUUAAACUUAAAGGACAUGGUAUUCUAGAGUUUAAAAUUCAAAAUUCAAAGUUCGAUAAUUGUGUCUUGAAAUAAUAUCUUAUGUUCAGAAAUUCAGGACAAAUAAAUGUCUUGAUUUCCAAUUAGUAUAUCAAAAUUUGGGACACUAAAUCACGAAUUUUCACAUUCAGGAUACUUAAUCUUGAAAUUUGGACGAAUUGACUAAUCUUUAAAUACAUAGUAAAUUAUGGAUGUAUUUUAAAUUGCAUACUUAAAAGGGGAUAUUGCUGCACUAUGCCCGAUUCGAGACAUAUAUUAGAGCGCAAAAAAAGAUCAAGUGGAAGAAGUUUUUAGAAAGUUUGAAUAAUUUUCCUGUCUAGUUUUGUAAGACUAAUUGUAAAUAGAUAGAUCAGAGGGGAGACUAUUAAGUAGCAAUAGUGGCUUUAUUUGAGUAGUUCUGUAGUUCAUUGGAGCUAGCGGAAGUAAUUAGUUAUAUUUCGUUGAACAAAAUUUUUGCCCGUUUGACACAAAAAAAUAAAAACAAUUAAGUGAAUAUUAAUAUUUAUCUUCAUAUGUGACACUCAACAGUUCUUAGAACUUUUUUACUAACAAAAGCACUUCUCAAAUGACUUAGACCCAAAAAAAAAUUAUUGUUCUUUCAAAUAAAGUGGAGUCAUAUGUGUGAUCCGUAUACAUUCAGAAGCAUGUACCAAUUGAGUAAAACCACCAAAACGAUCACAUUUUGAUGUCAUAAACUGCGUAAUAGUUUGCCAUAAAAUUUAAGUUGACAAGAAUUGUCUCUACAACCCCCACUCAUAUCAGUGGCAGAGCCCUGUUUCUUAUUAAAUUAAAAGCUAUAUUCAUAAUACCUGCUUUCAUAACAAAUGAUGAAAAAUUUGCAGUCCUUGUAUAGCUACAACUUUAGAAGUUGAUUGAAGAAGUUGCAAAAGGAAUGCAACAAAGGUUACGCCAACAAUGAACAAUAGAAGAAUUGGAUGAUACUUCACCAUCAUCAGUUGUCACGAGUACUUUACCAAUAGAAAAAUGGUAACAGCUAGAAUAACGAUAAAUAUGACCAAAAGGCACAACCAUGUACAGCCGCCUUUUGUGCGUUUAUUCAAAAAUGCUAAUUUCCUUUGCACUCUCUGUUUCAAAGGACAAUAAAAACUCGCAUUAGCUUGAGCACGACAAAAUCAGAGAUUUCACUUCUUAUUAAUUCCUCCAUCCAAUUUUACCAUCCACCGGUUUGAAUGCAAGUGCAUCCAUUAGCAUUUUGAUUACCAUAAUGCACGGGAGAAAAUAUUAUUAUUGAUUAACAAUGAUACGAUAAGUCAUAUAUAUAUAUAUAUAUAUAUAUAAAUAACAUGUCCUACUCCUAAUACAUAUGAGAUUAAGGUUAUUUACUCCUAUUCCUAUUUACAUAACUAUUCUAACACUCUCCCUCAAG
rnacentral:lncRNA from 1 species